rnacentral:rRNA from 1 species
AAAAACAUCGCCUCUUGCAAAAACAAUGAAUAAGAGGUCCCGCCUGCCCUGUGACAAUAUGUUUAACGGCCGCGGUAUUUUGACCGUGCAAAGGUAGCGCAAUCACUUGUCCUUUAAAUGGGGACCUGUAUGAAUGGCAUGACGAGGGCUUAACUGUCUCCUUUUUCAAGUCAAUGAAAUUGAUCUCCCCGUGCAGAAGCGGGGAUAGAACCAUAAGACGAGAAGACCCUGUGGAGCUUUAGACAUAAAACAGAUCAUGUUAAACACCUUUAUAUAUAAAGAUAAACCAAAUGUAAACCUGUUUGAAUGUUUUUGGUUGGGGCGACCGCGGGGUAACAAAUAACCCCCAUGUGGAAUGAAAACACUUUUUAAAACUAAGAGCUACUGCUCUAAUAAACAGAACAUCUGACCAAUCAGAUCCGGCCUAGCCGAUCAACGAACCGAGUUACCCCAGGGAUAACAGCGCAAUCCUCUUUUAGAGACCGUAUCAACAAGAGGGUUUACGACCUCGAUGUUGGAUCAGGACAUCCUAAUGGUGCAGCCGCUAUAA